rnacentral:rRNA from 1 species
AGUGAACGCUGGCGGUAGGCCUAACACAUGCAAGUCGAACGGCAGCACAGUACUAGCUCGUUCUUACGGGUGCCGAGUGGCGGACGGGUGCGGAAUACCUCGGUGUUUACUUUUUCUUGGGGCAUAACGUAGGGAAACUUACCCCAUUACCGCAUACGACCUACGGGUGAAAGCAUGGGAUCUUCGGCCAUUGCGCGAUUCAAUGAGCCGAGGUCGGAUUAGCUAGUUGGCGGGGUAAAGGCCCACCAAGGCGACGAUCCGUAGCUGGUCUGAGAGGAUGAUCAGCCACACUGGAACUGAGACACGGUCCAGACUCCUACGGGAGGCAGCAGUGGGGAAUAUUGGACAAUGGGCGAAAGCCUGAUCCAGCCAUGCCGCGUGGGUGAAGAAGGCCUUCGGAUUGUAAAGCCCUUUUGUUGGGGAAGAAAAGCAGUAAGUUAAUACCUCGCUGUUUUGACGUUACCAAAAGAAUAAGCACCGGCUAACUUCGUG